rnacentral:rRNA from 1 species
UUUGUGUUUUUAGUAAUGGUAGUGAAAAUAAUCUUAACUCUCUUUUAAUAAGUAUUUAAUAAAGAAAAUUUUUUAGGAUAAUAGUUAACAAGUACUGUAAAGGAAAGUUGAAAUAUGUGAAAAGUUAAUUUAAUAAAAGUAUAAGUGAAAAUUAGUGCCUUGUGUUUCAGGAAACUCAGAUUUAAACUUAUAAGAUUAAGUAAUCCCGAAAUUUAGUGAGCUAGUUUGUUGUAAUGGUUGACGUAGCAUAGUCAUUAUGAACGAUUUACUAGAAGUGAAAUUCUAUUCGCACUAAUAGGUAUCUGGUUUUUUAAUAAAUAAAUUUAAUUUAGUUCUUGAUGAUAAUAUAAUCAAGAAAUAAAAAUAGGAGGGAAAAGCUUCUUAUUUGAUAAUAAAUUUACUAUAAAUGAAGAGUGAUUUGUUUAUUUAGUUAGGCUUAAAAUCAGUCAGGCUUUAAGAUCGUUAUAGAUUAUUUAGUGUUUAAUUAAUAUUUAAAAUCAUUUUAGCUUAUUUAUUAAAAAAUUUUAUGGAAUAAAUUAUUUGAAGUUAUAAUUGAGUUAUUAGUAUAAAAUUUUGUGAAUUAUGAAAAUCUGGGUUAUAUUUCUUGAUUUUAUUAAAAUUAAAAGUUGUGUUAAGGAACUCGGCAAUAAUCUCUUCUGCCUGUUUAUCAAAAACAUGUCCAUGUGUAAAUAGAUUUAUGUGGUCUGGCCUGCCCACUGAUAUAAAUUAAAGGGCCGCGGUAUUUUGACCGUGCGAAGGUAGCAUAAUAAUUAGUCUCCUAAUUAGAGGCUUGUAUGAAUGGUCGGACAAGAUGAGGACUGUCUCAGCACAAGUUAUAAAAUUUAAUAUUUAAGUAAAAAAGCUUAAAUAAUAUGGAGGGACGAUAAGACCCUAUAAAGCUUUAUAAUAAAUUUCUUUUGUAUUAAUUAUGUAGUGUUAGUUUAUUAAAGGAAUAUUAUUAUUUUACUGGGGCGGUAAAAGUAUAUUUUGAUUAACUGCUUUUGUUUUGAAAAACAAUUAUAAUUGGCUUAUAAGUUGAUCCAUUAUUAAUGAUCAUAAGAACAAGUUACUUUAGGGAUAACAGCGUAAUUUUUCUUGAGAGUCCACAUCGAAAGAAAAGUUUGCGACCUCGAUGUUGAAUUAAGGGAGCCUUAAGGGGCAGCAGUUUUAAUGGGCAGAUCUGUUCGAUCUUUGAAUCCUUACAUGAUUUGAGUUCAGACCGGCGUAAGCCAGGUUGGUUUCU